GAUGAACGCUAGCGGCAGGCUUAACACAUGCAAGUCGAGGGGUAGAGGCUUCCGGGUCUUGAGACCGGCGCACGGGUGCGUAACGCGUAUGCAAUCUGCCUUGUACUGGGGGAUAGCCCAGAGAAAUUUGGAUUAAUACCCCAUAGUAUUUUCGGUUGGCAUCAACUGAUUAUUAAAGUUUUUCGGUACAAGAUGAGCAUGCGUCCCAUUAGCUAGUUGGUAUGGUAACGGCAUACCAAGGCUACGAUGGGUAGGGGUCCUGAGAGGGAGAUCCCCCACACUGGUACUGAGACACGGACCAGACUCCUACGGGAGGCAGCAGUGAGGAAUAUUGGUCAAUGGUCGCAAGACUGAACCAGCCAUGCCGCGUGCAGGAUGAAGCAUCUAUGGAUUGUAAACUGCUUUUAUUUGGGAAUAAACCUCCUUACGAGUAGGGAGCUGAAGGUACCAAAUGAAUAAGCACCGGCUAACUCCGUGCCAGCCGCCGCCGUAACAC
rnacentral:rRNA from 1 species